GCCGCUCGACAACGCGAUGAGCAAGAAGCCGCAGAUUGUGCGGAUCGAGCCGACCGACAAGACGUUCAAGACGGACGGCUGCCAGGCGUGGCAGAAGAACGACGCUGCGGUGCCCGAUCCGGGCAAGUCGCCGGAGCAGGCCGGGCUUCCGCUGGGCAUCCUCAACUCGCUGAUUGGCGGCGGAGGCGCGGCGGCU
rnacentral:ncRNA from 1 species